AUGAAGACACUGACUGGACCUUUGUUCCUGUGCUUCUGUCUGCAGCUGAACUGUGUGAGCAGAGGGGAGCAGGUGGAGCAGCGCCCGUCUCACCUGAGUGUCCGGGAGGGAGACAGUGCCGCUAUCGUCUGCACCUACACAGACAGUAACAAUGAUUAUUUCUUUUGGUACAAACAAGAGCUGGGGGCAGGUCUCCAGUUGCUUAUGCGUGUUCUUUCAAAUGUGGACAGAAAAGAAGGACAAGGACUCACUGUCCUACUGAACAAGAAAGACAAACAUCUAUCACUGAAUAUCACAGCUGCCCAUCACGGGGACUCAGCCAUGUACUUCUGUGCAGUUAGGCACAGUGCUCCCCACGCACCUGCUGCCCGCGCACAAAUCCUGCACGGGGAUAAGAGGAAGCAACUUUAA